GCGUAGCAGGCUCUUGGUGGAACAUGUUGAAUGGAGGGGUAAGUCGGCCUAUAGCAGGAUGCAUGUUGAAUAGACGAAUUAGCAGGCAUGUAGUAGGCCCAUGGCAGACACAUGUUGGAUGGAAGGGUAGCAGGCGCAUAGUAGGCGUGUGGCAGAUCAUGUUGGAUUGAGGGUUAGCGGGCGCAUAGUAGGCGUGUGGAAGAUCAUGUUGGAUGGAGGGGUUAGCGGGCACAUAGUAGGCAUGUGGCAGAUAAUGUUGGAUGGAGGGUUAGUGGACGCAUAGUAGGCGUGUGGUAGAUCGUGUUGGAUGGAGGGGUUAGUGGGCGCAUAGUAGGCAUGUGGUAGAUCGUGUUGGAUGGAAGGGUUAGCAGGUGCAUGGUAGGCGUGUGGCAGAUCAUGUUGGAUGGAGGGUUAGCAGGUGCAUGGCAGGCCCUGGUGGAUCAUGUUGAGUGGAGGGGUUUGUGGGCUCAGAGUAGUCCCUGUGCAGAUCAUGUUGGAUGGAGUGGUUGGCAGGGCGCUGGCCCACAGAGCGGCUUGUCACCUAUGUUAUGAGAAGCCCCACGCCAGCUGGAGGCAGAGGAAGGUGACAGCAUCCACUGGAGAUGCAGGUUGUAAGUCUUAGCAGGUGAGCUGGGCUGAAAGGUGUGGGUGAGUGGCCCCAGGCAUGAGGAGCUAAGCAGAAAGGGACACUUGGGAAGGGGGCAGCACACCCAGGGGCUGGGAGUGGAGGCUGGCACUCAGCAGACCUGCCCCUUCCUCCUCACCCAGCCUGGUCCUCACGCCUCAGGCCACCCAGGGAAGGAUUUUCUUCCACCUGAACCCCCUCAGCUCCUUUCUUCGCUUGGCCCCACUCCGCUGUCCCCGGCCCAUCCUCUGUGUGAGGGCGGCAGUGGGGCUGCAGUGUGAGGCCCCCGUGCUGUUUUCUCUC